rnacentral:rRNA from 1 species
CACGUAGGGGACGAGCGUUGCCCGGAUUCAUUGGGCGUAAAGCGCGCGUAGGCGGCUCGGCAAGUCGGUCGUGAAAUGCCGGGGCUCAACCCCGGGACUGCGUCCGAUACUCUCGAGCUGGAGGCAGGUAGGGGAGAUCGGAAUUCCUGGUGUAGCGGUGAAAUGCGCAGAUAUCAUCAGGAACUCCGGUGGCGAAGGCGGCUCGCUGGACCUCUUCUGACGCUGAGGCGCGAAAGCUAGGGGAGCAAACGGG